rnacentral:rRNA from 1 species
GCUCACUGAAUAUUAAAGAGCUGCAGUAAUUUGACUGUACUAAGGUAGCAUAAUCAUUAGUUUUUUAAUUGAGGACUUGUAUGAAGGAUUAAAUAAAAUUUUUUCUGUCUUAAUAUAUUUAGUAAAAAUUAUUUUUUUAGUGAAAAAACUAAAAUUUUUUUAAGGGACGAGAAGACCCUAUAGAGUUUAAUUUUAAUGAAAUUUAAUUAUAUUUGAUAAUAAGAAUGUAUUUAGAAUUUGAUUGGGGAGAUAAAUAGAUAAAUAAAACUCUAUUAUAAAAUUAUGAUUAGAUUAAAGUUGUGUUAGAAUAUUUAUUAAAUAUUAAUGAUUAAAUUACCUUAGGGAUAACAGCGUUAUUAUUAUUAAGAGUUCAUAUUGACAUAAUAGUUUGCGACCUCGAUGUUGGAUUAAAAUUUAUUUAAUAUGUAGUAGUAUUAAAAUUAAGUCUGUUCGACUUAUAAUAUUUUACAUGAUCUGAGUUCAAAUCGGUGUAAGCCAGGUUG